CCUACGGGCGGCAGCAGUGAGGAAUAUUGGUCAAUGGGCGCGAGCCUGAACCAGCCAAGUAGCGUGAAGGAUGACUGCCCUACGGGUUGUAAACUUCUUUUAUAAAGGAAUAAAGUGAGUCACGUGUGCCUUUUUGUAUGUACUUUAUGAAUAAGGAUCGGCUAACUCCGUGCCAGCAGCCGCGGUACUACGGAGGAUCCGAGCGUUAUCCGGAUUUCUUGGGUUUAAAGGGUGCGUAGGCGGCCUUUUAAGUCAGCGGUGAAAGUCUGUGGCUCAACCAUAGACUUGCCGUUGAAACUGGGAGACUUGAGGAUGUUUGAGGCAGGCGGAAUGCGUGGUGUAGCGGUGAAAUGCUGAGAUAUCACGCAGAACCCCGAUUGCGAAGGCAGUCUGCCAGGCCAUGACUGACGCUGAUGCACGAAAGCGUGGGGAUCAAACAGGAUUAGAUACCCCAGUAGUC
rnacentral:rRNA from 1 species